AUGGGUAUUCCUUAAAAGUGAAAUGUUUGCAGAACCAACCUAAAAAGACCAGGGAAGGGAAUGAAUGUCAGCAACAGAGCCAAAAAGGUAAAUCUUUAAAGAUGACUAUUGGUAUGAAAUUAGUUUGUUCUAUCAGAUUUGUCAACACUGCUUGCACAUGCAUAUUCCUUAUGAAUAAGGCUUUUAUAAUGCAGGCUCCAAAAUUAAUUCAGGUAGAGUCAGUGACAGCAGUGAAUAAGCACACAGGCAGUUUAAAGAGAUUGCUUAGUUUUCAAAUCAACAAAUUGCUGUGGUUCUACUUAAUCCAUCAAAGAAGGAAAAGAGAACAAUCUGGCAGCCAGGAGGGAAGAUAUAAUGGUAAAGGACAUAAUGUUCUAGCUAUUUUAGGACCCAUUUACACUAUGAAACUGGUGGCAUUUUAGAGAACAGUUGUUGAACACAUUUGGGGAACAGCUGUGUCAUUGCUAAAGUGUAAAGACUAAAGUGUGUAUAGACCUGUAGGGGUGUUUAAGAAGAAUCUGGGGGUCUGAGGGGAUUCUGUUCAGCUUAAAGUCAUGUUUUUACUCAAUUUCACUAUGAGUAAAGAAGUACUAGCAGAGUCAAAUGACUUUAUGAACACCCUUUAUUUCCAUGAAAAUGGCAUCAAUUAUAUAUGAUAAGUCUGAUAGCUGUAUCAAUCUUUCUUAAAUAAGACUAAAUAACAGGGGUCAAAAAUCUGCCUUCAGUGUUGAUUCAUAGAUAUUUUGGUCACCAUUUAGGGAUCUCUGUUCCUUGAAAAAGACACUUUCUCUCCCUCCUUCCCUUUUUCUUGGUGGGGCUGCCAUUUUACUUGUGCUUCAGACUAGACAUGCCACAGAGAAGUAAAUUGAAAAUAAAGAAAUACAUCUCAUCACAGGAUGAUAUGAGAAAGACUUUCAAAGUCAUUAUGAGGGCUUCAAUACAAGGGGAAUUUAUUGGUGGACCUUGUAAACUUGGAUCAAGUUGAUUAACUCUGUUUCCUCAAAAGGAGAAGUGGUUGUUUGUACCACUCCCAUGUUUCACCUCAGCACUGGACAGUUGACUGCAGUUCCGAAGCAUUGUUUUGGAUGGCAGUGGCCUUUUCUGCAUAAGUGUCCCUUUCAUGCAGUAAGAUGAAGCUUUUGCCAUGUCUUAACAGCAAGAAGAUUGCAUCCCUGUGGUACAUACAUAAACAACUAAGCCAAAGAUCUACUGUGGGUUGUUAAGAAGUAUCCAGUUUUGAUUUCACAAUUACAAGGAAAGAGUUGCUGGAGAUAAAACUGAAAAAAAAAAGAAAAUACUGAAAAAUUGCUGACAUUACUGAGAUGGUGUACAAAAAACCAGAUGCAUCGAGACAGACUCAAAUUGCAGUUGAAUGCGUGUCCAUUAGAAGCAACCAGUUGCUUUACUUUCUUCUUGGGGACCUAGGUGGGAAACAGCCACGAAAGCUACAUUUUUGAGGAAAAUCAGGUAUAUAGGUUUUUCUUAAGAUUCCUGUCAUUACAAAACAUGAAAGUGGAGAGCUCACCCCUUCUCUGCUUUGUCACCUCUACUGUUGUGCUCUUCGGAGUUUAUUGUCUCAGGAAUAUCUAGUGAAGCCCGGUUCAAAAGUUUCUAUAAAAGAUUUAGAAAAAGACCUAAUUGAUGCAGCUGGCUCAUGAGCGAAGCCCAGGCUUUUUUUGAAGAAUUGCUUCUUCAGCUUUGGUAAUCUUCAUGCAUGGAUUUUAUCUCCUAACUUCCAAGAUAAACCAGGGACUGAUCUGUGAUCUGUUCUGCCAGCACAUACGAUCAUCUGUUAUAGUCAUGUGCAUGACAGGACUCUGACUUCAGCAGCAUUUGAGCCACAUGCCAAAUCCCCAGCCUUGAUGAAGAAUGUGUAGCUUGCCUUGAUGAUCAUUGUGUUACUUUUGCUACGUCUUUAGCAACAUCCAAACUUGGUAGUUUAAAGAUAGCUCAUACGUGCCCACAUUAGCUGCAGUGACCACAGUAGAGCAGUAUCUGAUUCUCUAAUUUUUCACUAUCCCUCCCUGUGAUCCCCUUUCUAUGCUUAGAAUAUAAAGAUUCCUCCAUUUCCAAAAACAAAUGAAAAAAUCAAAAACACUGAGGAAAAAAAAGCUAUAUGCACUUUUAGUAUCUUUUUGUUUAUUAAAAAUCAUCACGUACAGAUACAUAAUAAGGAUGAAAACAGCUUGCUUCUAUUAGCUGUUUUCCCCUAGGCUUCUCUAUCUAAAACACAAUGAAACAGGCAAAUAGGAAUUAUAUGGCUGUCAAAAGAUUUUGGUAAUGUUAUAAACCAUAAGAAUAAAGAUUAGAUAGUCCUUUACUUUGGAAUCAACAAGAUCUUGAGAUGAAAUUAAAGUCUGAGAUUUGAAAUAUCCUCAUUUAUUUAUUAAAAUUCUUGAAUGUGGUUUCCUUGUUGCUCCUGCUCCCUCUUUUGUCUGCCUGAUGCAAACAGCAAACAGAAGCCCUGCUCUGACUGCCCAUUUUUAAUUUGCAGGAGUGAUUUAAUCCCUCUGAAUUACAGAAUGAGCAAGCGACUUCAUAAACCUGAGUAAUGAGAUUCAUUA